rnacentral:lncRNA from 1 species
GAACUGACCUCUCUGGGACUCAACCGUGGCUGGAAGGGGACAGGAGAAGCCCUUUCUGGAGGACAGCUGAGCGCUGCAGCUGCCAUCCUGCCUGGCAGGCUAGGGCUGGGCUGUGGGAAGGCCCCCCAGGAGGGAGGUCCGGCCACUGCACCCCGAGGAAAGGGCUGCUUCCGGCACUCUGCGUGGAGGUCCUGGCUUCUGCCGUCCCUGGAGGCUCCGUUCCCGUUUCGCCAGCUAUUUUGCUGCCUCGGCCAUCUGUUCCCUCCCUGUCAUCUCCUCUCUGCUUUAACCUUAACCACUACUUCACUGCAGAUGGUACCAGGCAGUUCUGCUCUCGACAUCCUUCACGACGCCUGGCCCUCCUUCUCAUCUCCAGCAAGUGAACCGCUCUGUCCUUUUUAAAGCCUCAUCCCAAAGACACGGCCAGAGCUUGGAGUUGGAUUCGCC